UAAAUGUAUUGUUUAUUUCCCACCCAAAGGAUACAAAACUCUUGGUACUUAUAUUUCUGAGUGGGCUGUUCCAGAAGCAGGCUGGAAAGAGUAUGAGUUUAUUGAAUUUAUUUUGGAAGCUGGAACAUUGGAGACAUGCAACCAGAUGCUUCAAUUUCAAACAGAAGAUGAGUCAGAAAAUCACGGAAAAUCAAAUAAAGUUCGAGCACCCACUCCAGAGCUAGACUUCAUUUUUAAUUCUAAUGAACCUGUGAACAGUGAAUUUUCUCAAAAGCUGAGUGAUAGAUAUUCUAAUACAGAAAAACUAAAAGCAGCACAAGCUCCAAGUCUGUUGCCAGAUUUUCCACCUGAUUUUGUUAACAAAAAUGUUGGAAAACCUUUCGGGAAAUCAAAAGAAGUUCGAGCACCUAGCCCAGAGCUAGACUUAAUUUUUAAUUCUAAUGAACCUAUGAGCAGUGGACUCAUAAGCUGAGCAAUAAAUGUUCAAAUACAGGUAAUUUAAAAAGGAAACAUUCAAAUAUAGGCGAUGGUGGAAUUUCUUUAAAGGAAAUGUCAAACAAGCGAGAAUCAAAAGAAAAUCCUUGAUCGUCUUGAGCUACUUGAAAAUAAUGAUGCGGGACCCAGUGGGUUUGCAACUGCCGAUAUUUUAACAGAACCAAUAGAUACAAUGGAAAGGUUUGAUGAGGAAGAAAAUGUAUUAAACUUCAGUAAAGCAGCUAGGUUUCGAAAGAUUACACAAAAAAAGGGCGUUGGUGGUUCAACGCCACGUCGACUUGUUAAAAAUGUGUUAGACAGCAUAAUGACACAAUCUUUACAAAGCUGCUUCAGUAAAGAUGGAAUAAAAGGAAAACAAAAAUUUGUGGCCACAACUUUAUACAAAUGUUUAAAAAAAGCGCUUAUCUCAGAAAAAGAUGGUUUUGACGUGGGCAAUAUUGAGGCACUUGUUGGCGACUUGUUAAAACGUGCAAUGCCGAAAUUGCAAAAAGAAGGAAUUAAAUAAUAUAAAAAUUCUUUAGUUUUUUUUAAUUAUAGCAUGUAUUUUAACAUUUAAAUAAUUAAAUAAAUUUUUAACUUGAAAAAA
rnacentral:misc_RNA from 1 species